GCUUCCGUUGAAUGACGUGCUUGCACUGAUUUCAACAAUGAAGCGAGUGGCGAACUGGUGAGUAACACGUGGGGAAUCUGCCCAGAAGCAGGGGAUAACACUUGGAAACAGGUGCUAAUACCGUAUAACAACAAAAUCCGCAUGGAUUUUGUUUGAAAGGUGGCUUCGGCUAUCACUUCUGGAUGAUCCCGCGGCGUAUUAGUUAGUUGGUGAGGUAAAGGCCCACCAAGACGAUGAUACGUAGCCGACCUGAGAGGGUAAUCGGCCACAUUGGGACUGAGACACGGCCCAAACUCCUACGGGAGGCAGCAGUAGGGAAUCUUCCACAAUGGACGAAAGUCUGAUGGAGCAAUGCCGCGUGAGUGAAGAAGGGUUUCGGCUCGUAAAACUCUGUUGUUAAAGAAGAACACCUUUGAGAGUAACUGUUCAAGGGUUGACGGUAUUUAACCAGAAAGCCACGGCUAACUACGUGCCAGCAGCCGCGGUAAUACGUAGGUGGCAAGCGUUGUCCGGAUUUAUUGGGCGUAAAGCGAGCGCAGGCGGUUUUUUAAGUCUGAUGUGAAAGCCUUCGG
rnacentral:rRNA from 1 species